rnacentral:lncRNA from 1 species
GAGAUAAGCAUGUUUUUCCUGCUGUGCGCGCAGUUUCGCAGAUUUUCGCGUCGCUCGUGCGCGUGCCACAGUGGCCGGCAGUGCUCCGAAAGGUGAGCACGGCCUCUGGCACACCAAGACCUGUCAACGGGUGUCUUGGUUUGGCUGAUUGACUUCGGGUUUGUGUACACGGACCAUAAAAGUGCUGAAAACACAUAAAAUAAUGUGAUUUCGGGUAAUCGGGAGGGCUUUUAUGCAAUUUUGUUUGUCGUGGUUGCUGUGGGCAGCGCGUACGGGCAGUGGGUAACCUUUGGACUGAUUGUCCUCGGCCCCAGGCCUUUGCGAAAGUCGAAAAGUGAUUUUCGAGGCGUUUCUUGGCGAAAUCCGCCGACAGAACGCGGGUUUGGUUUAGAAUUCUUCCGACGGUGCUUGGUGAUUAUUUGUUGUUAAGUCUUGUGUGUUGGCAAGUUUCGUGAAG